UUCCUGCCUAGCGUUUGCAGAGGUUGUCUUCCUAUCCUAUAAAUAAUAGACCGAUCUACUCAAGCUAUGCGAACGAGUUGCGGAUAAAGCCACCGGUGAAGAGGAUAAAGUUGCGGACAAAGCCACCGGUGAAGAGGAUAAAGUUGCGGACAAAGCCACCGGUGAAGAGGAUAAAGUUGCGGAUAAAGCCACCGGUGAAGAGCAUAAAUUCACCGAUAACACCAUCGGUGAAGAGGCUGAAGAUAGCUCCGAUGGUGAAGAGGAAGAGGAGAGCUCCCCGUUCGAUCCUUCCAAACUCGGUUCCGUAAGAAUAGUGUUCAAUGCUUCCAAUGUCGGUGACGGAGAUGAUUAUGACUCCGAUGACACUGAUUUGGAGGGCAAGAAGCGGGAUGUCUAUCUUGAAUACAGACGUCAGUACAAGGAAAGAGAGGGAUUCGAUUUUGAUGAUUAUCCCAAGCCAGCUAAGGGAGAAUUUUUCUUUGGUGUUGCUCUUCAUGUCAAUCUCGAAGAUGAAGAUAGCCUUUUACCAAAGCCUGCAGAGAGGCACUUGAGUAUGCUGUGCAGGAACAGAAUAAAAAGGUUGCAAAUCUGAAUCCUCUUGAAAUUAUCAGAGCAAAGGUUGAAUCAAUUGGGUUGUAUCACAUAACUUUCAAUGCUGAAGAUAUGACUCUGGGAGGCACCAAACUUUAUCAAACUAGGGUCUUCCAUAGUUUAAUUCGUGGUAGCAAGCAGAAGUCUGAAGGUUUUCAGAUUAAAGGAACCAAAAAGGUCCUCUGUAUGCAGGGGCGGAGGGAGGGUACGGCAAGGGGGGCACGUGCCGUACCGGCGGCCGGAAAAUGCUUUAAAGGGGAUGAAGGUGCUGCAGUGGCGCAGCUGGUGGUGCCGCAGCAGUGCAGUUGCAGUGCCCUACCAAAAGGAAGCUCCUGGCUCCACCACUGUCCGUAUGUAUAUGUAAGUGAUUAUUUUUUCUUAAAUAAAAUUAAAAGUAGUAAAAAUAUUUAACAUUAAAAAUUACAGUUACCUCCUUUUCAAGUUUUUAAAAUUACUUGAAGCCCAAAUGACACCCACAACAGGCCCUUCUGUAACUAGCUUCAUCAAUUUAACUUCAUCUAUUUUAUCUUCAAUCAGUUUUGCUCCGGAAAUAGUAGCUACCGAGUCCUUCCGUAUCUGAUAAAUGCAACACAUUUUGAUUGAUAUUAUAUAAUUUAAUUUGAAUUAAAGAAAUACUACACUUAAUUACCUCCAUGAUAUAUUGAGGCUUCUGUCCUAUAAAAGGACAUAGGUCUUCCAAACAUAACUCCUGAUUAACUAAAAUUUCUUCAACAUACUUAAAGUGGGAUAUUGCAUAAUGGCCUACGAUGUUUAUCAGCAUCUAGACAUGAAAACCCACGAGUCCCUAUUGUUUUUAGUAAGAAUUAACUGAUUUUUAUCACGGUGCUACGACCCAACAUAUAUCUUUAUUUAAAAAGAAAAAAAAAGAAAAUCAAUAAUGAAUAUACAAUGGUACACAUAUAUCAAUAAUGAAUAUACAUUACUACACAUUAACUGAUUUAUGAUCAAUAAUGAAUAUGCAUAGAUGCAACUGAUUUCAUUUUAAUUUAUAAGCUUACUCUAUAGAAAAAGAAAAUCAUUUUUAUGUGUAGUAAUGUAUAUUCAUUAUUGAUUUUCUUCUUUUUUUCUUUUUAAAUAAAGAUAUAUGUUGGGCCGUAGCAAUAGUUGUCGUGAUUGAAGCUCGAUGGAAUAUAAUUCUUACUAAGAACAAUAGGGAUUCGUGGGUUUCCAUGUCCAGAUGCUGAUAAACAUCGUAGGCCAUUAUGCAAUAUCCCACUUUAAGUAUGUUGAAGAAAUAUUAGUUAAUCAGGAGUUAUGUUCGAAAGACCUAUGUCCUUUUAUAGGACGGAAGCCUCAAUAUAUCAGGGAGGUAAUUAAGUGUAGUGUUUCUUUAAUUCAAAUUAAAUUAUAUAAUAUCAAUCAAAAUGUGUUGCAUUUAUCAGAUACGGAAGGACUCGGUAGCUACUAUUUCCGGAGCAAAACUAAUUGAAGAUAAAAUAGAUGAAGUUAAAUUGAUGAAGCUGAUUGCAGAAGGGCCUGUUGUGGGUGUCAUUUGGGCUUCAAGUAAUUUUAAAAACUUGAAAAGGAGGUAACUGUAAUUUUUAAUGUUAAAUAUUUUUAUUGCCUUUAAUUUUAUUUAAGAAAAAAUAAUCACUUAUAUAUACAUACGGAGGACCUGGACCAUUAAAAAUAAAAGAAUUGCAUGCAGUAAUCAUUACUGAAUUUUGCAUGCAAUAAUCAUUAUUGAAUUUAGUGUCCAUAAUGAUGAAACUAAAUACUGAAAAAUUAAAAAUUCAUAUGGAGAAAACUGGUGCGAUAGAGGAUAUGGUAAAAUAAUUAGACAAUCGAAAAAAUCUAUUUUCGUCAAAAUAUGGUGCCCUAACGUCAGAAGUUUCAUUCAAUUUUUUUGAUAACUUCAAUCAUUUUAUACCAUUACUAUAUUUAUUAUUUAAUUUUAUGUUUAGUGAUUUUGAUUAGUUAUAUUUUUAAUAUAUUGAAGGAUGUGAAGUUGGUGA